AGGCUCCUGGAAGAUGACGGCAUCUGAUGAAGUGCUCUGGUGCUUCCAACUAUAUCAUCAUUCUGUUAGAAAACCAAACACAUGAAGAGCCCAAUCAACACCCUGGGAGAACGAGGCAUCUCAUGUGAACCCCCAUCAAAGUGCGAAGCCUCAGAAUUAUAAUUAAAUGGAGUCUCGCUCUUUGCCCAAGCUGGAGACAUGGAAAGUGUAUCUUUUGGUAAAAAAGGAGCCCGACAGAGGACAUGUAUCUAAAUGCAGGCUAUUCCCUAAGCUUCCCUAUACUCAUGAAGUCUUCCUGUUGAAAUCAGAGUUUCCAUUGCCUUCAGCAAAGGACCCCCAUUAGCACUCUGAAAGGAGAAGCUGCCAAGAAACUGGGCUUUCUAAUAUCAAUGAGACAGAUAAGUUUCCAGAACAGCAGAGGCCAAGUGGGAGCGAUUAACUGUCAAAAAAAAGGUGAAUGUAAAUGAUACAAUGUUCAGCAAUAGCG
rnacentral:lncRNA from 1 species